rnacentral:lncRNA from 1 species
AUUAAGACAAGGGAGAGAUUGAAGAGUGGAAAGGAGAAAGUGGUUGAGGAACAGUGAGAGAAGUUGGAGAAGAAAGUAAGAAGAGGCCGCUUACCUGAUUUAAAAUUGAGCGAGACUCCGUCUCAAAAAAAAAAAAAAAAAGAGAGAGUGUCAUGAUCAGAUUUGCAUUUGAAAAAUAUUACUCUAAUAGCACAGAGGAGGGAGGACUAUAGUGUGCAGAGGCAGUUAGGAGGUUACUGCUAUAGUGCAGCUAAGAGAUAAGAGCCUGGACGAAGCCAUUGGGAAUGCAGGUGGUGAUUGAAAUUAUUCCAGAGGUGAAAUCCCUGUGACUUGGUGAUUGACUGGGUGCAGGGAUGAUGCAUCUGAGAGCUCAAUGCAUGUCGGUGAUGAUGAAGGUGAAGAUGCUGUGAGUGAUGAUGAGGAGGAGGAGGAGGAUGUAAUUGAAGGAGCUUGGGCUUUGCCAUCAGUACAGCUGAGUUAAAAUGU